rnacentral:lncRNA from 10 species
GUUGUCCUACCUCAUCUCUUCUUUUAAUUUCUAUUAUGGAAAGUUCCUAACAGGAACAAAAGUGCAGAGAAUUAUAUUAAAAAUUCCCACGUGCCCAUUGCCUGCCUUCAACAAUAAACGCCUUGUAGCUAAAUUUAUUAUUUUGCAUUCCUGAGCUCACUUACUCCCGUGAAUUAUUUUGAAGCACAUUUGGAAAAUCAUGUUAAUCUGUAAUUAAAAAAAUAUAUAACAUCAAAAGGCAUGGACGACUCCCUUUUAAAAAUAACCGCUGAAAAAAAUAUUGCUUGUCCUGUCUGAAUUUUGCUGAUUGCAUCUUUGUGUUCUUCUAUCCCUUUUAUUUUCUGCAAAUUGGUAGUUAUAUCUGGAGGGUUGCCUGAGUUCAGUUUUGGUGUCUUUGGUAAGAAUCCUUCGUAGGUGGUGUUGAAUGUGGACUUUCAUUGGGAGGCACAGAAGGUCUGGUUGUCUCCCUUUUGGGGUGAUGGUUGCCCGGAGUAUGGUUUACUCUUAACUCCUGUAAUGUAAAGGGAGGGAGGAAGGAAGAAAG